CAGGAAUACUGGCCACUAAAGCAGAUGAAAAACUUGGACAGUGGAAAACCCCCCAUCCUCUUAAGGCUUUAGAAAUUGUCUUUACCCCUGAAUAUGACCUUUUCUGAGGCCCCUGCUGGGAUAUGCUGACCCUCCUUUAACUAUCAUCAUGACCAGGGCAUUCCUCCACUCCACAGUGUAGAUUUGAUCCUCAGAAGUCUAACCACAGUCUCUUCCCAACUUAACAUUAGUCUCCACCCCACUAGUUUUUACCUCCAUGACUUACCAUCCCAUGUCUACUAACUCCCCAUUAGCUCACAGCUCUGCAGACCAGAGCACAAUGUCUGCCGACUGACAACUAGCCCACAAAACCUUGUUUGAUCACACCCUUAUCCCCAGCAGAGUCUGCCAAACUCCCAUUAGCUCACAGCACCAUGUCUUGCCAUCCCCAUGAGCUGCCAUUACAAUUCUUGCUGACCCCAUUAGCUGACAUCAAGUUUGAUCAGCCCCCUGAUAAGACUGGUGAUUCUCCUUCAGGUUGGUUUUGUAGCUUACUGUCCUUUACAUUGAGCAUGGGGACAGUGACCUCCCAUCACAGCCACGUGUCUUACCACCUUCCUUCAGACUAAUGUAGUGUCUGUUGACCUCACCAUUUUGUCCUCUGGUGCCCCAUUGGCUACCAGUAUGAUGUAAUUAACCCACUGAGUUGUCAUCAUGGUGUCUGCUCACCCAUCAUUAGAUCACAUCUGCACAGUGUGUCUUCCACAGUACACUUUCGUCAAGGUCUGUCUGCUGUUCC
rnacentral:lncRNA from 1 species